UACGGAGGGGGCUAGCGUUGUUCGGAAUUACUGGGCGUAAAGCGCACGUAGGCGGCUUUGCAAGUUAGAGGUGAAAGCCCAGGGCUUAACCCUGGAAUUGCCUUUAAAACUGCAUCGCUAGAAUUGUGGAGAGGUAAGUGGAAUUCCGAGUGUAGAGGUGAAAUUCGUAGAUAUUCGGAAGAACACCAGUGGCGAAGGCGGCUCACUGGACCGUUGUUGACGCUGAGACACGAAAGCGUGGGGAGCAAACAGG
rnacentral:rRNA from 1 species